CGGCGGACGGGUGAGUAACGCGUGGGUAACCGUGCCUCAUACAGGGGGAUAACAGUUGGAAACGGCUGCUAAUACCGCAUAAGCGCACAGUACCGCAUGGUACGGUGUGAAAAAACCCGGUGGUAUGAGAUGGACCCGCGUCUGAUUAGGUAGUUGGUGGGGUAACGGCCUACCAAGCCGACGAUCAGUAGCCGACCUGAGAGGGUGACCGGCCACAUUGGGACUGAGACACGGCCCAA
rnacentral:rRNA from 1 species